GGAGUUGUGGCUCAGUGGCAGAGCACUCACCUAGCACAUGUGAGGCCCUGUGUUCAAUCCUCCAGCACCA
rnacentral:tRNA from 1 species